AUGAUUAACAUCAAGCCAUACAUGGUGAUGCUACUGAAAUUACUUUACACUCCUGUUCUGGAGGAAAGGAGUUCUGCAGCCAACAGGGCCUUUGUGUCUUCUUGUGCUGCAGUUCUCAAAUAUGCCAGCCAAUCUCAGGCUCAGAAACUUAUUAAAGACACUGCUUCUCUGCAUUUAGGGUGGCAAAGCAUUGAUGAAUAUGGUGUCCGCCAAAGGUUUAUGGCCCUGUUUGACAGUAGGUUUUAUUGUUGUUCGUCUGCAUGCUCUUCGAUUCAAGCAGUCUUCUCCAUUAUUGGAGAACACAAGGAUUAA
rnacentral:rRNA from 1 species